AUAGAGUCCAGGCUCCUGCUGGAGGGUUAUUUCUCAAGUUCUGGCAUCUCUGUUGACUUAAGGACCAGUCAACAUGAGAAAAUGGAGCCCACUAAUUUUGUAACAUAUUGUAAUAUCUCUGGAAAAACACAACUGGUUUACGAAAGAGACCAUGUGAUUUAUUUGAAAAUGAAGCAGAAGCCUUUACAAUGUUUUACUGAAACUGCCAUGGGGACCAGAAGUGAAUGGAUCGGAGGUCCAACAAAAUUCACUAUUGAGGCUUACACAAAUAACCACAGCUGAAGAUGCAAUUGUCCCAGCCUAUUCUGUAUAUUCAUAUUCAUCUUGUAUGUUUAUGAUAUUAUUUAAGCUGUGAUAUUUAGGUUAAUAUUUUCUUUAGUACUAUUAUGUUUAAUAAGUCAACUCUAAACUAUAAUUUCUACUUUCAUGAUUUAGCAAUUUGACAUUAGCAAUAGUAAUGAUAAACUGCGGUAGAAACAACAAAAAUUCAAAAAUAAAAAAUGUAAGUAAG
rnacentral:lncRNA from 10 species